AGGAACUUCUGGAUUGCUUUCCAAAGUGGCUGCACUGUUUUCUAUCCCCACUGGUAAAUGGCAGGAAAACAUCUAAGAAAGGAGGCUCCCCCCUUCCCUUGCAGGGUUACCAGCAAUUAAAAAGAAGUACUAGAGAGGCAAAUAUCGGCAGUAUACAUCUAAGCGCUGGUCGGAAAAGAAGGAACUCAGCCCAAGAACUUGCCCAAUCUGAUACUGGAGGUGCCACUCAAGAACCACUCCCUCCAAGAUGUUUUCCUGGAUUUCCUCAGCCUAAAGUAAUCCCUCUUUUUCCUGGCUAUACCAUCUGGAACAGAUGACUUCCAAGGACACCGUAGCAAAGAAAAAGAGAACUGGAAGCCCAUGUGCCUUAAUCGCUUCAUCCUAGAGCUUCCUGAGACCUCCCCGGAGGCUGAUGCUGCCGUGCUUCCUGUACAGCCUGCAGUACUGUGAGCCAAAUAAACCUCUUUUCUUUAUAUAUUACCCAGUCUCAGGCAUUUCUUUAUAGCAAUGCAAGAAUGGACUAAUACAAAGUUCAUUCCAACCUUCAUGGAUGACUUUGAGGGGUUCAAGACUUCAGUGGAGGAAGUCACUGCAGAUGAGGUGGAAAUAGCAAGAGAACUAAAAUUAGAAGUGAAGCCCGAAGAUAUGAUUGAAUUGCUGCAAUCUCAUGAUAAAACUUGAACAGAUGAGGUAUUGCUUCUUAUGGAUGAGCAAAGAAAGUGGAUUUUUGAGAUGGAAUUUACUCCUGGUGAAGAUGCUGUGAACAUUGUUGAAAUGACAACAAAGGAUUUAGAAUAUGACAUAAACUUAGUUGAUAAAGCAGUGGCAGGGUUUGAGAGGACUGACUCCAAUUUUGAAAGAAGUUUCACUGUGGGUAAAAUGCUAUCAAAUAGCAUGGCAUGCUAUAAAGAAAUCUUUUGGGCCAGGUGCAGUGGCUCAUGCCUGUAAUCCCAACAUUUUGGGAGGCCGAGGUGGGUGGAUCACGAGGUCAAGAGAUUGAGACCAUCCCGGCUAACAUGGUGAAACCCCAUCUCUAUUAAAAAUACAAAAAAAUUAGCUGGGCAUGGUGGCACAUGCCUGUAGUCCCAGCUGAGGCAGGAGAAUCACUUGAACCCCGGAGAUGGAGGCUACAGUGAGCCAAGAUUGUGCCAUUGCACUCUAACUUAGUGACAGAGCAAGACUCUGUCUAAAAAUAAAUAAAUAAAUAAAUAAUCUUUUAGGCCAGUCGUGGUGGCUCACGCCUGUAAUCCUAGCACUUUGGGAGGCUGAGACGGGCAGAUUGCCUGAGCUCAGGAGUUCCAGACCAGCCUGGGCAACACAGCGAAACCCCAUCUCUACUAAAAUACAAAAAUCGGCUGGGCGUGGUGGCGGGCGCCUGUAAUCCCAGCUAUUCAGGAGGCUGAGGCAUGAGAAUUGCAUGAACCCUGGAGGCGGAAGUUGCAGAGAGCUGAGAUCUUGCCAC
ensembl:lncRNA LINC01285 long intergenic non-protein coding RNA 1285